rnacentral:miRNA from 1 species
UCGCCAACUCUGGAGAAGAAU